CUGCUUCCCGCCCCCCCCCCCCCUUCUCCUAACGCUCCGCGCGGGCCACUCGGGGGUGGUGCGGCGGCGACGGCGACUCCGGUCCGGGCUCCAUGACCUGUAACCUCCCGGGGACGCUGACGAGCAGCCGCGCUCAGCUCAAGAACCACCCCCUCCAAGUUGUCUUCCUGGAUUUACUCGGCACCAAAGUUAGCCUUCUCUUUCCUGGGGCCCGGCAGCCUGGAAAGAGAAACGGUGGUGGUGGAUGAUCGCACCGAUCCCGAUUUGGAAGUUGUGUGGCAGGUGACUUAGAAGGAUAAGACCCCCAGAAAACCUGGAAGCGUGAUAUAUCAACCAAGGCAAAGCCCCCAGAGCUUCUCUUCGCCCAGGAAAGGGUGGCAGCUGAAAGCCUGAGUCAUUCCUGGGAGAAGCAGCAGCAGAAACCGGAGUAAAAACGGUCUUCUAUUUUCAGGCUGGACAAGACGGCAUAGUCUCAUUUCUCCUCGCUCCUCCCCACCAAGUAGAACUGCGAGUGCUAGAAAUGAUUCAAGAGGCAACCAAAGAAGAAUUCCCAAAGGUCUAAAGAGGAAGACAGAAUGGUCAGGAACCCCAGGACCGGGAGACAUCGUAGCAGCAGGGCGCCUUUUGACUCCCCACCCAGCAGAAGGAGGGGAGCCGGGCCCCCGCAUUUCCCAGUAGGCAGCUUCUUCCUCCGGAUUGGAUGCGCCAAUCCGCGUGGGCCCCGUGGGCCCCCGGCAACCCCGGCAAAGGGAAUCCAGCAGGGAGCCCCGCUGACACGAAACAGCCGGGGGGGGGGGGGGGGGGACACGCUCUCCUCCCCCGCCACGCGGGGCUCCCCUCCCUUGCCACGAGACACUGUGCGGCCAGGGCAUCGUCAUCAAGGGCAAAUCCGACCACCACGAGUCCUCUGGCCCAGGAAGGAGAGGUACCAGGAUGGCAUAUGGCACCGACAAGGGGCGCGGGUUCCACCAGAGCAAGCAAAACCAGGGAAGCUUAGCUGUUCCCGCAGACUAGAGACUCACUCCCUCCACCUGCGGGCCUCAGGCCACCCAGCCUGGUGGAACACCUUCUGCUCCCUUAGGCGGCACCGGUGCGGACCGGCGGGGGCCCCGUCAGCGCCACAUUAACAAGCGGACCAAAAUAGCAUCGCAGAGGCUCUGCAACGUAAAUGGUCGUUGAAAUCACAGCCUACAAAAGUAGGCCAGGACCUGCACGCUAAACCUAAACGGAGUGACCGCUUACUAAAACAAAAGAUUUAAAUAGCCUCCUGGGGCGCCUGGGUGGCUCAGUCGGUUCAGCGGCCGACUCCUGAUUU